GAUGAACGCUGGCGGCGUGCCUAAUACAUGUAAGUCGAGCGAACAGACGAGGAGCUUGCUCCUCUGACGUUAGCGGCGGACGGGUGAGUAACACGUGGAUAACCUACCUAUAAGACUGGGAUAACUUCGGGAAACCGGAGCUAAUACCGGAUAACAUGUUGAACCGCAUGGUUUAACAGUGAAAGACGGUCUUGCUGUCACUUAUAGAUGGAUCCGAGCCGCAUUAGCUAGUUGGUAAGGUAACGCCUUACCAAGUCAACGAUGCGUAGCCGACCGGAGAGGGUGAUCGGCCACACUGGAACUGAGACACGGUCCAGACUCCUACGGGAGGCAGCAGUAGGGAAUCUUCCGCGAUGGGCGAAAGCCUGACGGAGCAACGCCGCGUGAGUGAAGAAGGUCUUCGGAUCGUAAAACUCUGUUAUUAGGGAAGAACAAAUGUGUAAGUAACUAUGCACGUCUUGACGGUACCUAAUCAGAAAGCCACGGCUAACUCCGUG
rnacentral:rRNA from 1 species